rnacentral:rRNA from 1 species
AUUCCAGCUCCAAUAGCGUAUAUUAAGGUUGUUGCAGUUAAAAAGCUCGUAUUUGAAUUUUUGUCUGUUGGGGCCUUGUUCUGUCCUUAGUGGCGGAGUUUAGUGUCCCGACGGACUUCCUGGGGGCCAACUAGUUGGUGUUUCAUUACACUGAUUAGGGAACCCCCUCGUUUACUGUGAAAAAAUUAGAGUGUUUCAAGCAGGCGUUUCGCAUUGAAUACAUUAGCAUGGAGUAAUAAGAUAGGACUUUGGUGCUAUUUUGUUGGUUUGCACACCAAGGUAAUGAUUAAGAGGGACAGUUGGGGGUAUUCGUAUUAUCAUGUCAGAGGUGAAAUUCUUGGAUUUUGGUAAGACGAACUACUGCGAAAGCAUUUACCAAGGAUGUUUUCAUCG